UGUUGAAUGGGUACCUUAUUUUAUAUUUUGUCCGCCUUCAAAAUAAAAAACCUAGAACAAGAAAACAAAUUGACUAUUUUGAAUUUCAAAUUUAGGUUAAAGUUCAUGCAGAAUGUAGUCUUCGACACCUAAUGAUUGAACAUUUUUAGUUUUCAGAGAUAGUCUCCCUUCCCCAAUCAAACAGCCUUCUUUUGAAAGUUAGAGUCCAUAUCUGAUUUGUCCAUACCUCCCUAACUGUAGCUUCUUGCUGUUGAUUAAUGCUGUAUAUAUCAGGAUACAGGGUCUUCAGAGAUCCUCUACCCAAUUAGUCAUCUUCCCAGAAUGCUAUCUUUAUACCAUUG
rnacentral:misc_RNA from 1 species